UGGGGAAUUUUGCGCAAUGGGCGAAAGCCUGACGCAGCAACGCCGCGUGGGUGAUGAAGGUCUUCGGAUCGUAAAACCCUGUCGUCAGGGACGAAGGUUCUGGGGUGAACAGCCCCAGGAUUUGACGGAACCUGGAGAGGAAGCCCCGGCUAACUCUGUGCCAGCAGCCGCGGUAAUACAGAGGGGGCAAGCGUUAUUCGGAAUUAUUGGGCGUAAAGGGCGCGUAGGCGGUGUCUUAAGUGGGAUGUGCAAUCCCCGGGCUUAACCUGGGAACUGCAUCCCAGACUGGGACGCUGGAGUACUGGAGAGGUAGGUGGAAUUCCACGUGUAGCAGUGAAAUGCGUAGAGAUGUGGAGGAACACCAGUGGCGAAGGCGGCCACCUGGACAGUAACUGACGCUG
rnacentral:rRNA from 1 species